UGGUGAGGACGCGGUUGUUUGUAGUGUGGUUUCUACCGGUACCGCCGCUUUUGGGUCGAACAGAACACGUACGAGCACCGGAAGAAGAAGGAGGAGGAGCGGUACCUCCAACGACGGCGAUCCCUUGAUCUCCUUUGUCCACUAGGGAUGUUCCCGAGCAUAGGAAGUUACCCAAUAGGUUGACCUGGCGGUGGUAUUAAGUACCCAGGGCCCCUUAUGAAUAUCAUGAGAUGUUGUAUAAAUAUGUAUGUGCGUACAAGAAUCAAAGUACUCUUUAUUUGCUAUACAUAGAUAUAUACAUAUGCAUACGUCCACAGUCUCUUUUACAAACAUGGAUGCUCACCUAAUUAUGUACAAAGAAGGUGUAGUACUGACAAUUUGAACAUACUGGUACGUACGCACAUACAGGUAGGAAAAGAAGCAUGUUAACGUAUACGACCUACUUUGCUAACCAGGAACGCGCGG
rnacentral:rRNA from 1 species